rnacentral:lncRNA from 13 species
GGGUUGAUGCUCAGCAAAUGAUUGCGUUGGGCACCAUAGAGCGAGCCAAUUUCUCAGUUACAAAAUCUUUUUUUUCACCUGUAGAUAUUCACGCGAGUUCCACACUUGGCUCCUGAAAAUAAGAUAACUAUUUUGAAAUCUCUAAUCAAAUCCCUUAUUUUUUCUCCAAACAUAUGUCACGUUUGGCUUGUUAUUGUGUCUCCCGCUUGCAGCUGUUUUAUCCUCUCUGAUUCCGUUUGGUAAACCAAUCUAAAUAACAUCCAACACGGGCUUGGGUGUUGCUUGGCGUCCUCCUUAGACUGUGAUGUUUGUACACAGCCUGAAUUGAAACGGGGAAAAAAUCCUCAGAUUUUUGGAAGCAGCGAGUCAGUACUUCACACUUGGGUGACAAACACACUCCGCCCUCUUCCGUCCACAACAAGCAGUAACUAAACCGUGGGGACAUCGGGAACCAUUCGUUCUUAAAGCCCGUCUCCUUCAUUAUCUUAUAGGAUUUCUAAAGUGCCCUUGAUUCGCGUAUGGCCGUUUCCUCUGUCAAUCAUUGCAAUGGGAGCGCGGGUUAGGUGGAGCGGCGAAGGAGCUGUCCAGUGCUGAAAGCUGCGCUCGAGAAAAACAGAUUGUCUGGAGCCUAUGCGGGAGCUGUGUGCCUAAAUACAGGAUGACGGGAGAUGAAGUCAGGUUACUAGUAAAAAAUAACGUUUCUCCAAGGACGUCAAGAAAUGACGUGAGUCUGUGAUAUCUUGUUGGCCAUAGGGUGUCACUAUAACCCUCAUAAAUGUUUAUGGGCAUGAAUAUUUAAAGUACAUUUUUCGCUUCAUCAACAACAUUCCUUACAACCAAGACCAUCAAUACAACAGUCAGGCAUUCACAGCACAUUUCCUGUCACCUUUGCAUAUUAGUCUUUUCACACCUUUUCAAUGGGUCCCGCUAUCCUCACAAUCAAUCAAGUUGUCAAUCAAGCUAUAACUUUCUAACCUCAUGGGUGGUACAGUAUUCUCAACAAGAUAAUAAAUAAAGAAAACAUUCAAAGAAUGAAGCCAUUUCUAUGAAUUUGCUAAUGCACACCUUAUUGAUUCCAAACUAAUCCGACUAAUAGAAUAGAAUAUGGACUCCAGUUCUACUUUAGACCUCUUGUGAGGCAUAAAAUGAGGUGAAGCGUGCCUUGAAGCCUGUUAUAUUAUAUCCUGCCAACAGCACCUUGCAAAUUCAGGCGUGUAUUCCCCCUACAAUCUACUAUAGACCUGUGCACCUUCCAAUCAAUAAACUCAUCUAAAGUAUUCUGUGGGUCCCUCAUUUGUGUUAUUCAAGUAAGCAUCAUUGAAAGAUCAUGGCUUCAUUAACUCAUGUGGACCCUCUAUCUAUCUCAUUGCAUGUCUUUCACCC